GUACCUCGGUAUGUAAAGUUCUUUUAUUAAGGAAGAAAAAAGAGUGGAAAAACUCCCUUGACGGUACUUAAUGAAUAAGCCCCGGCUAAUUAUGUGCCAGCAGCCGCGGCAAUACAUAAGGGGCGAGCGUUAUCCGGAAUUAUUGGGCGUAAAGGGUGCGUAGGCGGUUUAAUAAGUCUAUAGUUUAAUUUCAGCGCUUAACGCUGUUGUGCUAUAGAAACUGUUUUACUAGAGUGAGAUAGAGGCAAGCGGAAUUCCAUGUGUAGCGGUAAAAUGCGUAAAUAUAUGGAGGAACACCAGAGGCGUAGGCGGCUUGCUGGGUCUUUACUGACGCUGAGGCACGAAAGCGUGGGGAGCAAACAGGAUUAGAUACCCUGGUAGUCCACGCCGUAAACGAUGAGUACUAAGUGUCGGGUAAAACCGGUACUGAAGUUAACACAUUAAGUACUCCGCCUGAGUAGUACGUACGCAAGUAUGAAACUUAAAGGAAUUGACGGGACUCCGCACAAGCGGUGGAUCAUGUUGUUUAAUUCGAAGAUACACGAAAAACCUUACCAGGUCUUGACAUUUUCUUGCGAAGUUAUAGAAAUAUAAUGGAGGUUAUCAGGAAAACAGGUGGUGCAUGGUUGUCGUCAGCUCGUGUCGUGAGAUGUUAGGUUAAGUCCUAAAACGAGCGCAACCCUUGUCGUUAAUUGCCAGCAUGUAAUGAUGGGGACUUUAACGAGACUGCCAAUGAAAAAUUGGAGGAAGGUGGGGAUUACGUCAAAUCAUCAUGCCCCUUAUGAUCUGGGCUACAAACGUGAUACAAUGGU
rnacentral:rRNA from 1 species